rnacentral:rRNA from 1 species
GUGAACGCUGGCGGUAGGCCUAACACAUGCAAGUCGAACGGCAGCACAGUAAGAGCUUGCUCUUACGGGUGGCGAGUGGCGGACGGGUGAGGAAUACAUCGGAAUCUGCUUUUUCGUGGGGGAUAACGUAGGGAAACUUACGCUAAUACCGCAUACGACCUACGGGUGAAAGCAGGGGAUCUUCGGACCUUGCGCGAUUGAAUGAGCCGAUGUCGGAUUAGCUAGUUGGCGGGGUAAAGGCCCACCAAGGCGACGAUCCGUAGCUGGUCUGAGAGGAUGAGCAGCCACACUGGAACUGAGACACGGUCCAGACUCCUACGGGAGGCAGCAGUGGGGAAUAUUGGACAAUGGGCGCAAGCCUGAUCCAGCCAUACCGCGUGGGUGAAGAAGGCCUUCGGGUUGUAAAGCCCUUUUGUUGGGAAAGAAAAGCAGCAGGUUAAUACCCCGCUGUUCUGACGGUACCCAAAGAAUAAGCACCGGCUAACUUCGUG